rnacentral:rRNA from 1 species
AUACGGAGGGUGCAAGCGUUACUCGGAAUCACUGGGCGUAAAGCGCGCGCAGGCGGUCUUUUAAGUUGGAUGUGAAAGCCUAUGGCCCAACCAUAGAACUGCAUCCAAAACUAUUUAGCUAGAGUGUGGGAGAGGAAGAUGGAAUUAGUUGUGUAGGGGUAAAAUCCGUAGAGAUAACUAGGAAUACCAAAAGCGAAGGCAAUCUUCUGGAACACUACUGACGCUGAGGCGCGAAAGCGUGGGGAGCAAACAGGAUUAGAUACCCUAGUAGUCC